ensembl:lncRNA
GGAAGUAAGUGACCCCAAAUUUGGAGCUGUGUCCUCCUGGGAUGACCUUAGGGACAGGCUCUCUAUGCUGACUAGUGAAGCUGUGUAUAGGUGGCUGCUGGGUUGAGGGAACAGACUGUUGAUUUCCUAUUGGGAAAUGUCUUGGCUUCCUCAACCUAUCGGAUGAUCAUUGUGGGCCUGGUGUCUGCUACCUCCAUCCUCUUUGAAGGAACAUGGAGGAGCCCUUCCUCUGUAGGAGACUUAAAUCGUCUUAAAAGAAUACGUCAGUCAUUCUGGGUCUCUGCCAGGGGCGAGGGGGCAUCUAGGCGUUAAGCAUAAACACUGGUUGUCUUCAUAUUGCCUUUUUCCCCCCUGCUGCUAAGACCUUGCUGGGCAGUUCUUUAUGAUGAACAAACCCUGUCUGGCUUUAGAGCUUUACCACCUACCCAUGGGUCCCUCCUCACUGGGCAGCUGCUGCACCUGCCUCUUCCAAGCCCUGGAGGCAACUUAGCCAGCUCACCCCUAGUAGUAUCUGCUUGCUUCUGCAACUCUUCUGACCAGCCUGUUUCCAUUGUUGGGGAGUCUUAGCACACUCUGGCAUAUUAUCCCCAGAGAAGAGACAAGGAGAUGGCUGAUGGGUGUGUGUGUGUGUGUGUGUGUGUGUGUGUGUGUGUGUGUGUGUGUGCGCGCGCGCACGCACUGUUCAGUUACACCAAAAGUGGAACUUAGGGAGCUUGCUUUCUGUAUUUUCAUAAGCACCCUGUCAGACAUUUAACUCUCCUACUUAUAGAAGCCUUAGACUUACAAUUUAGCUAUGCAAAUUAUUUUAAUAAUUUAAAAACAGCAGUUCCAACCAGUGCUUUCUCUUUCAGAUGCAUCCCAAGAAUGAAUGAUGAAGGGACUCAGUUGGAGUGGGCUCUCAGGUUGAGGCUGAUUAAUGGGAGUAAGCUAGCCUGGAUCUCUGAUUUGCAGAGCACACUCACAACCUGGGUUACAACUGAUGCCUCUAAGGCUCCGGAGCACUGGGAUCCCAGAAAUUGUGUGUGUCUGUGUGUGUGUGGGGGGGGAAGGAGGGAUAUUUCUAUGUUCACCUCUAGGAAAUGACAGCAGCAAGCUCUGAGAAUCCAGAAACUAUCCCAGCAAGGAACCGAAUCCAGUCACUGGAGGGAUGGGCUUUUGAAGGUGCCGGGAAGUCAUGGGUGUUCUGAAUGGCAGCAUGUGCCUGCUCUCUACCCAGUGGUUCCAUGGGCUGGGUCUUGCUUCAACUCAGGAGAGGCCAUAGUUUUGGGAGGCUGACCUGGCUAGACAAGAUUUUCUUUGAUAUGUGCAGCUUAUAUUGUGUAAGGGGGUAGGGCUGGGAUCAUGGGAAAUUAAGAGUGCUACUGGUUCCAUGGUUUGUUUCGUUGUUUUUUUUUUUUUUAUUGAACCUGAAAAUACUUUGACUUUUCUGUCGUCUCUUUCUGUGUGCUGGUAGGCAAGCAUGCAUGCACACCAAACGUAAGCAUAUGUGUGAGGGUAGCAGGAAAUGUCUCAGAGCCCAAGAACCAUGUUUUACAGUUUCUUUGAUCAGAAACACUUGGUGUUGAUGUCCACGCACCGUCCAGGCCUGAGUAAGGGAAGGAUGGUGAUAAGGGGGAGGGCAGAAGAUCAGGUGUAGGUAUCUUGCCUCGCUACUGUCUUCCAUAGAAUGUUUUCAAGGGCCUUUCAAGCCCCAUCUGUCUGGUUUAGCCUAAAUCCUCAGCCUAGGGAAUAUAGUACAAUUUAAUAAUUCAGGAUUACCAUUUGUAAUAAUGCUUUAUUCCCUUUUCUCAGUACCUUUGUAGAUAAAAAUUCAACAGAGACAGAUUAGCCAUUUAAUUGAGAAAGUAAGUGAACCAUGUUGGAUCCAGAUAGUUUUCUUCAGAUUAGAUAUCUGCAAAGUUUUCACCCCCUUGAGUUAUGCUUCUUAAGCAUCUUUUGACUUAAGGAUGUCUCUGGUCCUUGGAAUUCUAUUCCCUAGGAAUUAGUGUGUGGAAUCACUAUAUACUUGUGAUUCACAACUAAAUAUGAAAAUUUCCCACUCCAGGACAUGAAGCAAAUCGUUGGGGUAAUAUUUUGCUGAUAGGUUGAAACACCCAACCAAACUUUAGCAGUCUGGGUAGGACUGUCACUCCCAAAGCACUCAGCAGAGCAAGGCUCUCUGCUUGUCUUUUCAUGCCUGGCAUUGCUCUGGAACUGAGUCCUCUUCCCAUGGGGAAGGUCUUCUGGGGCUUUACAUUCCUUGUUCCUAGUGUUCCUGGCCAUGACCCCCUUGUGCUUCCCAGUUCCCUGUGAUUCCACAGAAGACCAGUCUCUCCUUUCUGAGCCAUGGCCUCCUAUGCACCCAACUCAGUGACUCUUCCCCCAUCAAAACUCCUGAGAGAAGAGCUCCUUCCCCCAUUAGUUCCCCAAGAGACUUUCUGGCCCUCUGCUGACUGUUCCCAAGAAAUCCACACCUCAAGGUCUGCCUGAGAAGGUUAUGCUCUCCAUCAGUCACCUUCAGACUCUACUGACUCUUCUCUGCUGUCCUGUGUAUUCCACUGUGACCCCUUAAUGUCUGUUCUGUGCCACUGGCUUGGCCCUAGGCCUUUUAUGAAUACCCGAGUCUUACGAUGAACUUCCUGAGCAGGCAGUGUCCAACUUCUUUGCUCUUCAGGGACCUUAGUCUGCUCCUUUCCUCUCUCAGAGGUCUAUUUGAUAUAGUAAUCUAGUGCAUUGGAGAGAGGUAGCUAGACAGGCUGCAGAGUCUGUAAGGCUGGGGGCUGGGAGUGAUUUGGGUACUCUCUGUUACCACUACUGGGAUAAUAAUCAGAAAAGAGGGGACCUCAUACUGUGACCUGACCCAGGGCCCUCCCCUGGAAGAGAGCUCAGCCCAGGUUUGUGUGUGUGUGUGUGUGUGUGUGUGUGUGUGUGUGUGUGACAGAGUGUGUGUGUGCACACGCAUGCCCUUGUGCACGUGGGUGUAAAUUGUUAUCUGGUUGUGUUACUCAGGGUGGGCUGGGGACUCACCAGAAGAAUCCCCUCAGCCCGCCCAAGACUGUUUUUUUCCUGUACCCUCUCCAGAGGGGUCGGGGAAGGGGGUCCAGGUGGGUUGAGGGGGUCACAAUGGAUAACCACUAAGGCCACACUGCUGCCAGGAGGAGUGGGGUGAGGGAGAGAUGAGGUGGCCCCAGGGACCUGGCACCUGGCUUUGGUUUUCCAUCUUCUUUCUUCAGGACACCCCCUGAGGCCUGGGACCUGCGCCUGGCUUUGAGGAACAUCUGUAGCUGGGUGUUCCAGCUGCUGGUGUGAUCAUGGGCUUCCCUCCUCUCUCAGCAGGGCAGGUGCUCCUGCCCCAGAGACUGGGCAACUGGCUGUUUCUAUGACGUAUUUAUUUUUACUUGUGUUUCAUGUCACUUUUUUAAAAAAGCAAACAGAACAAUUGUCAGUUUAACUGCCUAUCAGUUUAUUUCUCUUUUUGUAAAAUAAAAUUUAAACUG